rnacentral:rRNA from 1 species
UACGAAGGGGGCUAGCGUUGCUCGGAAUUACUGGGCGUAAAGGGCGCGUAGGCGGCUUUGUUAGUCAGGCGUGAAAUUCCUGGGCUCAACCUGGGGACUGCGCUUGAUACGGCAGGGCUAGAGGACGGAAGAGGCUCGCGGAAUUCCCAGUGUAGAGGUGAAAUUCGUAGAUAUUGGGAAGAACACCGGUGGCGAAGGCGGCGAGCUGGUCCGUUACUGACGCUGAGGCGCGACAGCGUGGGGAGCAAACAGG